CGUAGUCCGGAUUGGAGUCUGCAACUCGACUCCAUGAAGUCGGAAUCGCUAGUAAUCGUGGAUCAGAAUGCCACGGUGAAUACGUUCCCGGGCCUUGUACACACCGCCCGUCACACCAUGGGAGUGGGCUGCAAAAGAAGUAGGUAGUUUAACCUUCGGGGGGACGCUUACCACUUUGUGGUUCAUGACUGGGGUGAAGUCGUAACAAGGUAGCGCUAGGGGAACCUGGCGCUGGAUCACCUCCUUA
rnacentral:rRNA from 1 species